rnacentral:rRNA from 1 species
UACGGAGGAUGCAGGCGUUAUCCGGAUUUAUUAGGUUUAAAGGGUGCGUAGGUGGCUAGGUAAGUCAGUGGUGAAAGUUUGCAGCUUAACUGUAAAAUCGCCAUUGAUACUGUUUAGCUUGGAUUUGGUAGAAGUAGGCGGAAUGUGUAGUGUAGCGGUGAAAUGCUUAGAUAUUACACAGAACACCGAUUGCGAAGGCAGCUUACUAUGCCACGAUCGACACUGAGGCACGAAAGCGUGGGGAUCGAACAGG